AUGGACAGAAGGCUACGAACCAGCAUUCAUUCUCGGUUGCCGAAUCAAGAAAAGUACUUACAUUUCGACUUCCACUCUGUGCAUAAUAAGACUAUUACAAGCACAAUGUGUUAUCUGCCUGAAAUGCCAAAGGAUCGCAGGCCUGAGAGGACUUACGAAAAAACUGAUGUGUUUUUAUUGUAUUCCCCUUCUGACGCUGAAUUGAUUGUAAUUGCUGAUGUCUCGGACGUGUAUUUGCUUCUGAAGUCUGUCAUGGUUUGAAAAGGUUUAAGGAUUAUUGUGGAAAAGGAGCAUGAGCUCAAAAUGACUGCUUUUAUUAUUUCACCAACAAUGAAGCCGUAUAAUAGUGCAUCAAAAUUUAUGAAUACGAGCGACUUGUGGAUCUAUCUGGGUCAGUGCUCAAAUCGAAGAAAAUGGGUCAAGAGACAUCAGAGAGACAGACAGAGAUCCUCUAGUCUAAGGUACUGUAUAUGUGUGGUUUCUUUACGCCAAAGAUUUCACAAGCUUGAUGAAAUCAAUUACAUACAAUGAAAAUGGCCUUUAAAUAUAUAGAAAUGUGCAAUAAUAAUAAUAAUAAUAAAAAAAAAACCUUAAAAGUGUUUUUUGCAUGUCUUGCAGAGUUGCAGUAUUACCAUUAGUUAUGGAAAGCCAAAUAGCUCAAAAUCUUACAAGUGACCAAUAAAAAAUCCCAAAAUAAAACUAUGCUUUUUUUUUCCAUAGUAUCUUUCCUUAAAGUAUAAAACUCUUUGAACUUAAAGUAACUUAAGUUAAAUGUGUUUUUUUGUGAUUUUAGUCUUCUUUGAAUCAAACACACCUGUGUUUUUUGCUGUAAAAAAUUACAUAAUGAUUUUCUGGGAAAUCGAAUCCCAUAUAGAUCUUUCUGGGUAAAUUAGCAAUUAGUGAUAAAAUAAAAGUAUUGCUGGCAUUAAUCUGACAUAAAGAAACUGAAAACAGUAAAGGAGAGUGAUCAGACAAACCGUUCAGAAAGCCAUUGUAGCAAAAGUUUAGUGAUGUAUGAUCUUCACCUUAAUUUCUUAAAGGAAUAUAGCAAUAUUAUUAUGGACAGAAGGGGCAUAUUUUAGCUGGAAACAAUGUUUUAAAAAGAAAAAUUGUCUUAAUUAUACAUUUGGUUGUUGAAAACACACAGCUUUUUGCUUAACAAGAUGUUAGAAGAGGGAGUGGUGUGUAUAACUUGUGGAUUAUUGUGACGUUUUAAACAGCUGUUUGGACUCUCAUUCUGACGGCACCCAUUCACUGCAGAGGAUCCAUUGAUGAGCAAGUGAUGUAAUGCUAAAUUUCUCCAAAUCCGUUAAAUCUUGGAUGGCCUGAUGGUGAGUAAAUUUUCAGCAAUUUUCAUUUUUGGGUUAACUGUUCCUUAUAGCUUAAAAGGUCAUUAAUAGAGUUCUAACAGAAAAGCUUAUAUAAUGUUUUACUCCAAACAUAUAUUCAUGGCACAUAUCUUUUGAGAAGGCAUGAAGUGAGAGCUCUACACCAGGAGAAUAAAGUGUGCCCACAUUUGUGUAUUCGCUGCUAUGUUAUGCAUAAAUAAUGUUUUAUAUGUGUGCAUUCACUCAAGCACCCGCUCGCCUGUGUGUUUGUGUGCAAUCUUGCAUGAGUCAAUAUGGGCUGAUGUAUAUGUGUUUGUAAGCAUGCAUGUGCCCACUGCUCUGUGUGUGUGUUUUAUAAUGAUAUAUGAGGUCAAUGUUAAGCACGGGAACUAGACAAGGACACAGGGAUCCCACAAUCCCCUGCAGGCCAUUGACACGCUCGACAUCUGCCUCUCUGGCUAAUGUCUGCAAUCGACUGAGCAACCUCCAAACAGCAUCUAAGCAACAUCUGAACAAUGUCCCAGCUGAACUCUCCUCAGGGGCUGAAGUCUGCGCUCACCUCACCUGCCACUCAAAUGGAUUGUGCUCUGUUUCACUAAUGUGAUAAACACACCUCACACUACAAAACAGAACGAAAGGCAAAAAGAAAAUGUUCAGCCUUAGAGAAACGAGGUGCAUCAUCAAGAGGAUGGUGAACUUGAGAUUAACUUUGGCCAUGUACACACUGCAGCUAAAUUUGGUUGUCAGUUCACAUUAGUACUCAGUCCUGUUCAGUACACACACAGUUUAGUCAUUUACAGGAGUGGUGACUGCAUUGUACAACGACUUGACUGCUGUAAAAUUCAGGUAGUGGCAACCGCAUUUACAAAAAUUCUACACAGUGUGUACUGAACCGAACUGACAAGCUAGUAUAAUUUAAACAUGUAUAAGAGUUGUGUGUCUCUUCUGUAUGUUGCCAGAUCUUGCUCAAAAAAAUAUAAAAUGAGAACUAGCGCAUGCUUAAAUCCAAGCGCUUUAUUUUGAAAAUAAGCCACAUACCAAAAGAUUGCAACCUGCCUACUUUAUUAACUCCAUAAACUGAACUGAUUUAUAAGCCAAACCAAACAACAAGGCCACAAACUUAAUAAAUGUCACUUAUAAUAAGUCAUCAGAUGACCAUUGUUUUCACACUGCACAACUAUCUGGUGUAGCAUUCAACUGCUGCUGUGUUCACAUUGCACGAUGGAUCGGUGACAUGACUUUACAAUGGAAGAAUCACUGACAACUCUGUCUGGUCCACAAACUACACUGUAAAAAAUAAUCCAUAAAAUAUACGGUAAAAAACUGGCAGCUGUGGUUGCCAGAAUUAUACCGUAAAAAAUACGGUAACACCGUUUUAGGUUUAAUGGUUUUAUACCGUAAAAAAUACGGUAACACAAUUAUUGGUUUAACGGUUUUACCUUAAAUGUACAGUUUAAUACCGUAAUUUAACUGAUAUAAUAUUAAUAUACCAACUUAUUGAAUACUGAAAUCUGUUUUGUACCUUUGUAAUACACUGGUAACCACCAAAAGCAGGUGGUGAUGAGAAAGUCACGUGAUGAAACAAAAUUAUAUGUAAAAUUACAUGUAAAGUCCAAUACAGUUUUUCACCGUAUAUAGUAGGGGAAUUUACCGUAAACCACCAGUUUUUACUGUUACAUUUUUACAGUGUUUUACCGUUAAAUUCACAGUAAUUUUUUACAGUGUACGUUUCAGAACCAAACGCACAUGAGAAGUGAUAAGGAAGAUCACGCGAGAUCAGAGUUCUCGUGUGAGACUGAAAAUGUUAUUAAAAUGGUAGGCCGCAAGAAGUUUGUGAUACAAAUGGUCCUCUAAACUUUUGUACAUUUCUUGGGUCCAAAUUGAGUGAGAAGGAGCCUUUCUCGGAACUAAAGCCAUGCUUGCUGAUAUUGUGGUUUAUAACUCUUCCCUGAACUUGCUGCUGCCCUGUAUUUUGGUCUCUAUUUGGCUGUAGGUCAUCGCAGAUGUAUUUUUCAGUCAGAACAUUCACACAGCAGGAUUCUGAAUCGCUGACAGGUCCAGAUACAGCGGGUAAAAAUAAGUAUUGAUUUCCAAUUUCCACCACAGGAAUAAAAAGCAUUUUAACAUAUUUUACAAUAGAAAACGGUUGCUUUUAAUUGUAAUAUUUCACAAUAAUUUUUUCUGCAUGUCUUUUUACACAUUUUGCUUAAUUUGUCACUUUGUGUAGUAUUGGUCUGCUCACUACCUCAUUCAACUACCUCUUCUGACAGUUUAAAUAAAGAUGUCAGUCUGUGUAUUUGUAUAGUUGUAUUUUAUAUAUUUUUAAUCUGUAUUUAUCUGUAUUUUUAUGUUCUACUGUUAGUGUUAGUGUUAUCUGUAUGCACCAAGGGACUGAGUACAUGUGGAAGAAUUGACGAUAAAGCAGGCUUUGACUUUUGACUUGACUUAAAUUAUACAUUUAAAAAUGUUAAUUAUUCCAGGCUUUUGACUCUUAGUGGAGCACCAGUAGAGAAAAUCAUUUUCAUUUCUAAAAUCUAAAAAGUUAAUAUUGCCUUAUCUAUUUAUCACACUCGCAAUCAUGCAUCUGAAUAUCAGUAUGGCUCGUGUGAUAGAGUUCAGUUUUCUAAAGUUGCUUUAAGCACAAAGGCACAAACACGGCUUUCACUGGCUGUGUCAAUGCUUCCUUGAAAAGCCUUCACCACUGCUUUACCUCCACAACAACGGCAAGCAGAUGAGUUCUAUAAUGUUACCCCUCAUCAGCCAAUGCUCAUUUCUGACCGUCUGACCUCUGGACACCUCAUCCGACUCCUCUCUGAUGGAACCUGUUAUGAUGUCCAGAGAGAUUACAGCUCUGCACCAUUCACAUAAACUCCAGUCAAUAAAUGAAUCCCUGCUGCUUAUAAUUUGAUGUGAUGAUUCAUUAUUUUUCCGUAAGCUGAAGUAUGCACCUCCAGCUAUCAGUUCUAAUGAUACUGAGAACAGCCUUUCUUUCUGUUAUUAUGGGUCACUCAUAAAUGCAGCUGCAAGCAUGCAAGCAAAUAAACCAGAUGGGGAAAACGUCCUUGUCAUUAGUGUGAUGGCAAUAACACAGAAGAUUGCUGCAAAGAAUAUAAGUGUUUUCUUGAUGGGCGAAUGUUUGCGCAUUACUGCACAGAUAGACAAAGAUUUUCUGAGAGUUUUUGUAUUUCACCACAAAUAAUCAUGUUUCUUGAAUUAUGCUCAGAAAAUAGAGAAUCAUAUAGUUCACAUUGAUUAUAUGUAACUCAGCGACGCUGCUGGUUUUCUUACCAAAUGUCUGACAGGAUUUUAUAAGAGACAAUUAAAACUCCUUUAGCAGAAGAAUUUUGAUAAAAUAGAGAUAAACUUGCUAUUGAAAGCCUGUUUCCAUGAUGGAAUUAAAAAAAUUAACAUUUUAUCUCACAAUUCAGACUUUUUUUCAUGAGACUUUUCAAAAUUGUCACAAUUCUUUUACAUCUCGGAUUUACAUUUUUUCCUCACUAUUCAGUUUUUUC
ensembl:lncRNA